CCUACGGGGGGCUGCAGUGGGGAAUAUUGGACAAUGGGGGGAACCCUGAUCCAGCCAUGCCGCGUGUGUGAAGAAGGCCCUCGGGUUGUAAAGCACUUUCAGUGAGGAAGAACGCCUGGUGGUUAAUACCCAUCAGGAAAGACAUCACUCACAGAAGAAGCACCGGCUAACUCCGUGCCAGCAGCCGCGGUAAUACGGAGGGUGCGAGCGUUAAUCGGAAUUACUGGGCGUAAAGUGCGCGUAGGUGGCUUGAUAAGCCGGUUGUGAAAGCCCCGGGCUCAACCUGGGAACGGCAUCCGGAACUGGCAAGCUAGAGUGCAGGAGAGGAAGGUAGAAUUCCCGGUGUAGCGGUGAAAUGCGUAGAGAUCGGGAGGAAUACCAGUGGCGAAGGCGGCCUUCUGGACUGACACUGACACUGAGGUGCGAAAGCGUGGGUAGCAAACAGGAUUAGAUACCCCUGUAGUC
rnacentral:rRNA from 1 species